GUAGGUGUGGCUGAGUCGUUAACGCAAUGGACUAGAAAUCCAUUGGCGUCUCCCCGCGCAGGUUCGACUCCUGCCAUCUAUG